rnacentral:rRNA from 1 species
UACAGAGGGGGCGAGCGUUGUUCGGAAUUACUGGGCGUAAAGCGCGCGUAGGCGGCUUUGCAAGCCGGAUGUGAAAUCCCCGGGCUUAACCUGGGAACUGCAUUCGGGACUGCAUUGCUAGAGUAUGGGAGAGGGAAGUGGAAUUUCAGGUGUAGCGGUGAAAUGCGUAGAUAUCUGAAGGAACAUCAGUGGCGAAAGCGACUUCCUGGACCAAUACUGACGCUCAUGUGCGAAAGCGUGGGGAGCAAACAGG